rnacentral:rRNA from 1 species
AUUGAACGCUGGCGGCAGGCCUAACACAUGCAAGUCGAGCGGGGUUUUCGGACCCAGCGGCGGACGGGUGAGUAAUGCGUAGGAAGCUACCCGAUAGAGGGGGAUACCAGUUGGAAACGACUGUUAAUACCGCAUAAUGUCUACGGACCAAAGUGUGGGACCUUCGGGCCACAUGCUAUCGGAUGCGCCUACGUGGGAUUAGCUAGUUGGUGGGGUAAUGGCUCACCAAGGCGACGAUCCCUAGCUGGUUUGAGAGGAUGAUCAGCCACACUGGAACUGAGACACGGUCCAGACUCCUACGGGAGGCAGUAGUGGGGAAUAUUGGACAAUGGGCGCAAGCCUGAUCCAGCCAUGCCGCGUGUGUGAAGAAGGCCUUCGGGUUGUAAAGCACUUUCAGUAGGGAGGAAGAGUUGAGUGUUAAUAGUACUCAGCUUUGACGUUACCUACAGAAGAAGCACCGGCUAACUCUGUGCCAGCAGCCGCCGUAAAAC